UUACGGCCACGUCACGUUGAAACACUAGUUCCCGUUUGAUCACCAAAGUUAAGCAACGUCGAAUCUGGUCAGUAUCUAGAUGGGUGACUGCAUGGGAGUACAGGUGGC